CAGUAGCCGCGGUAAUACGUAGGGUGCAAGCGUUAAUCGGAAUUACUGGGCGUAAAGCGUGCGCAGGCGGUUUGUUAAGACAGAUGUGAAAUCCCCGGGCUCAACCUGGGAACUGCAUUUGUGACUGGCAAGCUAGAGUAUGGCAGAGGGGGGUGGAAUUCCGCGUGUAGCAGUGAAAUGCGUAGAGAUGCGGAGGAACACCGAUGGCGAAGGCAAUCCCCUGGACCUGUACUGACGCUCAUGCACGAAAGCGUGGGGAGCAAACAGGAUUAGAUACCCGAGUAGUCCCUGUCUCUUAUAC
rnacentral:rRNA from 1 species